GGACCUGUAGCGCAGUGGUUGACGCGCCCGUGUCGGCCUUUUCGGGGCUCGGGAGGACGCCGGUUCGAGUCCGGCCUGGUCCG
rnacentral:tRNA from 1 species